AGUCAGGGUUGGGAGGGUUACUUUUGAAAUGUAUUCCACUACAGAUUACAGAAUACAUGUGUAAAAUGUAAUUUGUAACGUAUUCCGUUAGAUUACUCAAGGUCAGUAACGUAUUCUAAAUACUUUGGAUUACUUCUUCAGCACUGGUAGAUUUUUUUGCACUUGUUUUGACUAUUUAAAAAGAUUAAUCAAAUUGACCUUGUUUUAAGGAAUUUUGGAUGUAUAAAUGUGUUCCAUCUGAAAGGAUUAAAUAUUAAAUGAAACAAAUGAUAAUACAAUGCAAAGUAAUCUCUUCAGUAAUCAAAAUACUUUUUGAAUGUAACUCUAUUCUAAUUACCAGUUAUUUAAAUUGUAACUGUAGUGGAAUACAGUUACUUAUAUUUUGUAUUUUAAAUAUGUAAUCCUGUUACAUGUAUUCCGUUACUCCCCAACCCUGCUCACGGUGCUGUACUGUACUUACCUGCCCUGUCUCUCCCGUUAUAUGCCAAAAGUGUGCAAGGCAUAGAUCUUAUAUUGUAUGAGAAAUCACAAAACAUAAUGUAACCAAAUGCUACAAUUUACUUAAUAAUGAUAUCUCAAUAUGUUAAAUAACCAGAAUGUUAAUUAAGACUUUAUUAUUACAACUGUAAUACAAAAAUACAGAUACAGAACAGCCACUUUUAGUGUUUGAAUCAAUUAUAUCUCUCACUAAACACUGUGUGAAAGGUUUAUUUUUUCCUUAUUUUAUUCAGUCGGCAUGUAGGAGUUGAUAACAGUUUGCUUAAUAAUCUCAUUCCAUAAGGGGGACCUGGGUAGCUCAGCGAGUAUUGACGCUGACUACCACCCCUGGAGUCGCGAGUUCGAAUCCAGGGCAUGCUGAGUGACUCCAGCCAGGUCUCCUAAGCAACCAAAUUGGCCCUGCUGCUAGGAAUGAUAGAGUCACAUGGGGUAACCUCCUCGUGGUCGUGAUUAAGGGUUCUUGCUCUCAAUGGGGCACAUGGAAAGUUGUGUGUGGAUCAUGGAGAGUAGCAUGAGCCUCCCGUGCUGCGAGUCUCCGUGGUGUCAUGCACAAUGAGCCAUAUGAUAAGAUGCACGGAUUGACGGUCUAAGAAGCAGAGGCAACUGAGACUUGUCCUCCACCACCUGGAUUGAGGUUUUCAAAUAAGCCCUUUAUUGCAGCUGGGAGAGAAAUAUAAGAACAGUAUUGUGACCCCUGCUUAGUAUCUGACGCAUUUGCUUUUUGCCCUGGUCGUUAAAAAAAGUUGCCUCACCACAUCUGUAGCACCAUCACGUGGAAGUGCAAGCAGCUUAUGUGACCCUCAAAGUCAUAGUUGUUGUCGGGAAGAAGAAAGACAGUUUGUGAGGGCAUCAGAAUCCAGCUGCAGGGUCUUGAGGAGUACCACGGUCAUCAAGUGAUGGGAUAGCCCACCCAACAAUGAAGCAUCUCUUUUACUCUCUCUCCCCACUGUCCCUCGUUCUUUUCUUUUUCACAUUCUGCUGCCUUUUAUCAGACUCUAUCUCCAGGCUUUGGGCAUUGCUUUCUUUUUUAAAGAUGCACCAAGAAUGAGAUGACCCUGUGUUCACCCUCUGUGUUCACCAAUGUCCCAAGACCAAUGCUGAUUUGAUUUUAUGAGAAGAAUGAAUAACCGACUCUGUCAGGGACAAAAUGGAUGGGAACAAAAUUCAGGAAGAGAAUGAAAGAAACAGAGAAUGAGAAAAAAAAAAAAGACAGACGAAGUGGCCUCUUCUUCUAGAUCAUUUCCAAAUCCUGUUGGCUCUUUUAUCACUGGACUGCAAGAACAUGAGUGAUAUUUCAUAGGGAAGGCUUAAAGGGUGCCCAGACAUUGGAUUUUACAAGCUACAUCAGCAAACGCCCCCCUUGGCAAAAGGCAAUAGCGCUGUUAUACACAUAUGAGCGCACACACAUACACUCAAUCACACGCACACACUUCCUAUCCUGACAAUGUUAGCUGGAAAUAAAAUUUUAGUACCCCCUGGUAAUAAGUAGUGCUGAAGACCAGGACACGAUUGUACACACAUACUUACACUUCUCUGUCACUUUUUUCUCAAUAAAUAUAAAAUCUUGGUACUACAA